rnacentral:misc_RNA from 1 species
GAUGAAGAACGUAGCGAAAUGCGAUAAGUAAUGUGAAUUGCAGAAUUCAGUGAAUCAUCGAAUCUUUGAACGCACAUUGCGCCCCCUGGUAUUCCGGGGGGCAUGCCUGUUCGAGCGUCAUUUCACCACUCAAGCCUCGCUUGGUAUUGGGCAACGCGGUCCGCCGCGUGCCUCAAAUCGACCGGCUGGGUCUUCUGUCCCCUAAGCGUUGUGGAAACUAUUCGCUAAAGGGUGUUCGGGAGGCUACGCCGUAAAACAACCCCAUUUCUAAGGUUGACCUCGGAUCAGGUAGGGAUACCCGCUGAGCUUAAGCAUAUCAAUAAGCGGAGGA